rnacentral:lncRNA from 1 species
CUCUAGUACAGUGUAAUAAGUACCUUUGCUAAGAAGAGUAGCUUAACAUUAACUUUGUGUUCACAAAGUUCUGAAACUGGUGUUUUUACUUCAUAGUUUUCUGGCCUUUGGAUCAGACUGUUGUGCUGUGUGAAAUUAUAGAAGAUGAAAUUUGGAUCCUUGUCAAGGAGAUGUAUAGAGAUUCAAUGGGGCUUUUAUGUCGAUGACAGAUUUACAGCUGCUGCCUGCAAGAGUGAGAGUCAACAUCAAUUCUUUAAUAAGCAUCCACAUUUUAGAAACAGUGUGUGUGACCAGAAUGAAUGGAAGGAUCCUUCCUUCUCAUUGUGCACACUUUAAGUUGUCUGUGGUGCAGAUGCUGCUCUCCCCCAAGCUGUCAAUGGAGCAACCUGACUCCCAGCCUGUCUAUAAAUGAUUAAGGAAGAAGAUAGCCAGUUUUGCUUUUGCUUGAAAACAUUAUUCUGAAGAGGCUGCUUGGCAGCUCCUUAGAUGGAAGUGCUGUGUCCACAGAACUGGUAGAGCAGAAGUAAUCAAGAUAACAGGUAAGGAUUUCACCUUUGCUAACAUGUACUGUCCCACCUGCAUUCUCACCUAGAAGGACUUCCUCAACUUGCAACACUGAUGAGGCAGAGUCAGGACAAACACCUUCAGUGCCUUUGAACUCUGACUCCCAAAGGAUGAGGGCAAAACAAUGAGCACUGUCCUAUCAGCAAAGGUAUCCCGUGACUGUUGCCCUUGCCACCACAGCUGACACAGCUGAGGAACAUAUUCACAGGGUACAAAAAUUCAGAUCUCAGAUUAGCAUAAGAGGCAAGACACAAUUUUUGAGUCUGUGAAGCAGAAAAGAUCUCAACACUAAGCACCAAUUGUCUAUGCUGGCUCUCAUAUUUGGAUCUCUACUUCCAUGCUGCAACAGUUUAUUUCUUGCCAAUGAGAUAAUUCCAUUAAAUACUUGAAAAUCUUUUGAAAUUUGUAGUUGCACUUUUUUGAUUACUUUUCCAAAAGUUAUUAUGGUCCCUAUCCUACAAAUUAUUCCCUUCUGAAUAGCUAUGUUUCUGGAUUCAUUGAAACAACUGCAGUGAGAAAGCUUUGGCUGGAGUUCUACACUCUUUGUUGUCAGUGGAAAAAAAAAAAGCUUUACGAGUAAUAAAGAAAUCUAAGAAAUAUUUGAUCA